rnacentral:tRNA from 1 species
AUGGCCCGUAGCUCAGUCAGGUAGAGCAGCCUUGCCCCUUGCGGGCUUGGUUCGUCCCCGGUUCAAAUCCGGGCGGGCCUUGCCU